rnacentral:rRNA from 1 species
CCUAUGGGGUGCAGCAGUUAGGAAUCUUCUGCAAUGCGCGCAAGCGUGACAGAUUGAGUCAGAGUGCUUUUCAUAUGAAAAGCUUUUGCCAAAUGUAAAAAGUUUGGCGAAUAAGGACUGGGUAAGACGGGUGCCAGCCGCCGCGGUAAUACCCGCGGUCCAAGUCGCAGCCAUUAUUAUUGGGUCUAAAACAUCCGUAGCUUGCUUAGUAAGUUUCUUGUGAAAUUCCAUGUCUUAAAUAUGGAGCGGGCAAGAAGUACUGUUAAGCUAGAGACUGGAAGACGUAAGAAGUACGUUUGGAGUAGCGGUAAAAUGUGUUAAUCCCAGACGGACUAACAACAGCGAAGGCAUCUUACGAGGACAGUUCUGACAGUAAGGGAUGAAGGCUAGGGGCGCGAAAGGGAUUAGAUACCCCCGUAGUCC